GCGAGCGCGCUACCGCUUGAGCCACAUCCCCAGCCCUUUUUUUUUUUUUUUGAUGAGGAAAGAUGUUUCUCUUGCUAAUUUAGUGGGAGGAGAUGGAAGGUUAAGUCAUGUAAAUUUUUCGAACAAUUUGCUAGUAUUCUCAAAUAUACUGCAGGCAAAUAUUAUUUGAUACAAAAUGUUAUACUCAGGGGCCGGGGAUGUGGCUCAAGCGGUAGCGCGCUCGC
rnacentral:miRNA from 1 species